rnacentral:lncRNA from 1 species
GAUAGUCCCAUCAUCCUCAUGAUCAGUUAACCUCAACCAAAUUGACCAAACCAAGGCAUUUGCAUGUGUUAUGCUGUUUAUACGUAUAUAUAAAUUAAGAGUAUAGAGAGGACAGAGAGAGAGGGAUGUGUGUAUAGUUGAAAGAGAAAAUGGUGGGCUCUAAUCUCAUGUGUUCUCAUAUAUCACUCCACUUGAGCGCAGUGGCUUUCCUGCAUCUACAUUCUUGCUUUCUGUUCUCAUCUGCUAAAAAGUAUCUGCAUAAAUAAUUAAAUUGAGCUAGUUAGUUGCAUGCUUCUAUCUAGCUAAUUAAGUAAGAGAAGCUGUUGCAUGUGAUGAAGCUGGGUCAACAGGAAGGAAUGUCUCGAAACCUAGCUAUCCUUCAUAACUCAAGUAUAUUUAUAUAAAGAAAAAUAUCCAUGCACAAAGAUAGUUGAUUAUAGGCUUAUAACCAACAAGUCCAUCAAACAGUUUAAGGGAUGAAUGAACAAAUACGAUUCGACGAACUGAUCAUGGC